GGCGAGUUAGCUCAGUUGGUAGAGCACACGACUGAAAAUCGUGGUGUCCCCGGUUCAAGUCCGGGACUCGCCA
rnacentral:tRNA from 2 species